GUUGUGGCUUAGUGGUAGAGUGCUCGCCUAGAACGUGCGAGGCCCUGGGUUUGAUCCUCAGCACCACA
rnacentral:tRNA from 1 species